ACAAAAGAGAUGGUUGUUGACUUUAGGAGAGCGUGUAGCAACCACUCUCCGCUGAACAUCAAGGGCUCCUCCGUGGCAGACCCUGAAGACGAUAGCGAGGACAGCUGAGAAGAUCAUUGAGGUCUCUCUUCCCUCCAUCACAGACUUUUACACCACACUCUGUAUCUGCAAAGCCAACAGCACUGUGGAUGAUCCCAUGCACCCCUCAUACAAACUCAAAAAAAUUCUCCCCCCCAAGCCAUCAGACUCCUCAAUACCCAGAGACUGGACUGACACCACCUCAGACACACAUAGACGUACACACACACACACACACACACACACACACUCAUACUCAACUGAACACCGUUCCACUAUCUCUGCAAUUUUGGCACAUUUCUUUCUUAAAUUGCUGCUAAAACACUGUAAACAAAAUACUUUAUUGACCACCUGCAUUUUUGCUGCUAAUUAGUAGGUUAUGUUUACAGUAGCAUCAUUUAUUAUUAUAUUGUAAUACUCUGCAUCUUAUUCCACACAAUAACUGUGCACUGGUUGGCACUGCAAUGUCCUUUAUUGUGCCUAUUGUCCUGUUUAGGCAGUGUCGCAGGAAGCAGUGUCCCUCGAGCCAACACUAUUUUUUCUAAAUUUAUAUACUUUAAAAUUAUAAUUAAAUUUUAUACUGUUUACAAAUAUCACCGAUACGAUUUUAGAUAAAAACAAUCAUAACGUUGCGCUGUUGCUGAGUUUCAUCGGAUCUUACAAACAUCCGCGACUAGCUUGUAGCUCGCUAGCAUCAUCUUGCCACUAGCCUUGUUUACAUUUCACAUCUAUUGCAUUUUCCACUGUUUUAAAAGCGAAUAUGUCAGUUGUUUCUCCACUUUUGAGUCCAGAUGACGACUCGCUCGAGCUGCACAUGGUGCUGUUGGAACUGGAGGCCGUGGAGAAACAGUUCCGUGGCCUACUCGACAAGCAGGCCCAGCUGCAGGAGCGAAGAACCGCACUGGAAACAGCAUGUGCUUCUGUCUACAAAUCCAAGGUAAGCUCGCAGCAAGGUAUUACCACUCCCAGCCUCACUACGCCAUGUGUUUCUCUGUGCAUGAGCCGCGCACCCAAGACGUAUCCAGCCGAGGUCUCCGUCACGACGGCGCUGACAUACCACAGACCUUGGAUGCACCAGCAGCGGAAGGCGUGGGCCAUACCCCGGGCAAGGACCACUCCGCCUCCACCACCCCAAGUGUUUUUAAAAACCCAACCAGGAACCAAUUCGCUCCUCUCCAUCAGACCAGACCAAACGCUGUGAUUGUCGGGGACUCCAUUGUGAGGAACGUCCACGUUGCUUCAUCUAAGGGUAAGGUGCGCACACAUUGUUUUUCUGGUGCUCGUGUCCUUGAUGUCGCUGCACAGGUACCAGGGAUCCUGAAGAAGGACAAGAGCAUUGGAGCGGUCGUGCUGCAUGCAGGGGUGAACGACAUCAGGCUGCAGCAGAUGUAGGUUCUGAAGAGGGACUUUAGCAGCCUGAUCAAGACAGUACGAGGCAGAUCGCUCACCAUGAAGGUCAUCAUCUCUGGACCUCUUCCCACAUACAGACAUGAAGCUGAAAGGUUCAGUAGACUUCUCGCUUUGAAUGACUGGUUAAUUUCUUGAUGUAAUGAACAGAAUCUGCUCUGUCAAUAAUUGGAAUCUGUUCUGGGAGCGUCCGAGCACGGUUGUUCCGUGCUGAUGGCCUGCACCCCAGCAGCCUCGGAGUGGAACUCCUGUCAGACAACAUCUCCAAGACACUACACACCAUGUGACUACCUGCCAUUGAGGCCUUCCUUGCGAGCCAAGAACCCUCACCAUUUGAGUCAUGAGUAAGUUUACAUUUUCCUGUAUUUCUAGUUUAUAAUUUAUUUUCAUAUUUGCACUAUAUUUCUUAUUUUAUAUAUUUAUACUACUUGAAAAGCGGUUUACUGUACUUCCAACUUCUUAAUAUCAUUACAGUUCUACUGUCCUGCAUAUCCUACUAUUCUGAUUUUUUAUAGAGUUUCUCUAUUACUAUAAGAUAUUAUUAAAGUUAUUCAUGUGUGUGUAUGAGAACGAGAGAGUGUGUGUGUAUGUUGUGUCUACUUGCCCGCCCUUGACUGUACGAGCGUGUGUGUGUAUGUGUGUGUAUUAGCCCUCCUCAGCUCAGCUCGUAUACCUCUUUUUUGACUUUUUUGACUAUUACUGCUCUUAAAGAUCUUUUAAAGUGUAAUUCCAAUUUGUCAAUGUCCGCCUAAUCCCGCUUCUAUGUGUCUAGGUGCCCGUCUUUUCUUCUUCUCCCCUUUGCUGGAUGCUAGGUCUCCCUUAUGUUUAUUUUAUGACAUUUUUUAUCCACAACAUUUCCCCCUCUGAGGCUAUGAAGCCUCAUACAAUACCUUAAUUAAGCGUGGAGGAACUGAUUCUGCCGCACCCCAUGGCCGUCCCCCGCUAGCUGUCGGAGGAUUACUCUAACGAAGCCAUAAUCCCUGCGCCCGUCCCCGUACUCAAAUGG